UACGGAGGGUGCAAGCGUUAAUCGGAAUUACUGGGCGUAAAGCGUGCGCAGGCGGUUUGUUAAGUCCGCUGUGAAAUCCCCGAGCUCAACUUGGGAAUUGCAGUGGAUACUGGCAAGCUGGAGUAUGGUAGAGGAAGGUGGAAUUCCCGGUGUAGCAGUGAAAUGCGUAGAUAUCGGGAGGAAUACCUAUGGCGAAAGCAGGCUUCUGGGCUAUCACUGACGCUGAUCUGCGAAAGCUAGGGGAGCAAACAGG
rnacentral:rRNA from 1 species